CGAGGGGGGCAAGUGUUGUUCGGAAUCACUGGGCGUAAAGGGAGCGUAGGCGGAUGUUUAAGUCGGGAGUUUAAAACCGGGGCCCAACCUCGGAGCGGCUCCCGAAACUGGGCAUCUUGAAUAGGUCAGAGGCUGGUGGAAUUGGAGGUGUAGCGGUGGAAUGCGUAGAGAUCUCCAAGAACACCUAUUGCGAAGGCAGCCAGCUGGGACCAUAUUGACGCUGAGGCUCGAAAGCAUGGGGAGCAAACAGGAUUGGAUACCCUGGUAGUCCAUGCCGUAAACGAUGAACACUAGGUUUUGGGCUCGUCAACGGUCCAGAGCCGCAGCUAACGCGUUAAGUGUUCCGCCUGGGGAAUACGGUCGCAAGGACUG
rnacentral:rRNA from 1 species